rnacentral:rRNA from 1 species
AUACAGAGGGUGCAAGCGUUAAUCGGAGUGACUGGGCGUAAAGGGCGUGUAGGUGGAUAGAUAAGUUAUGUGUGAAAUAUCCGGGCUUAACCUGGAGGGGUCAUGUAAUACUGUUUAUCUAGAGUAGAGCAGAGGGAAGUAGAAUUUCCGGUGUAGCGGUGAAAUGCGUAGAGAUCGGAAGGAAUACCAGUGGCGAAGGCGGCUUCCUGGGCUCAUACUGACACUGAGGCGCGAAAGCGUGGGUAGCAAACAGGAUUAGAAACCCCAGUAGUCC